UUUUCAAUCUUAAAACACUAGAAUCUGAUAAAGCAAUUCCUUUUCUACAAUUUUGUCGUCGGAUUUUUCCAGAAUCGUCCUGGAGCGAAAAUUAUUUAUGUUUGAAUUAUCUGGACAAAGUCGUGUUUUAACAGACGAUCAAAUUUGAGAUUUAAGAGUGCCGGGUUCGAUUUAAACCGAUUUAUGAAAAAAAUAACUUAAUCCUUGACGUUGUAUUUUUAAACUCGAGCGUAAUUUAUGCGGAAACGCCCCACUAAAGUGUAGGUAUACAUCCGGUUUACUUCUUGGAAUUUACAGGCCUGUAUUACCCUUGCGAUUUCUGCCUUUCACAGCAAUGCAGAGGAUGGCCUUUGCCAAAGGUUUAUUUUUCGCAGCAGUUCGUCCACAGUUGUUUUAUUCUGUUCGUCUUCGGUCUCUCCAACAUCGCUAUCACUGUCGUCGCUCUGCUCAUCGUUUUCAUCUUCACUGGGUUCAAAGUAGGUCGCUGGAGUAAAUACAGCGUUAUUUGCAGUCGUACCGAGAUCUUGAACACUCGACAGCAACGUUGCUUCACAAACAGGGCAAUUGCUAAUAUUUGGCAGAAGGCAUUCGAUAUGAAAUGAAUGGCCACAUCCGCGGAAAACGUUCCAGAGAGGGUUAACUCUUUCGCAGCUGAUCAAAUCGCACUUUCUAUGACAGGGAAUAUAUAAAGUGUCAAUUCGCUUUCUGCUGUAAUUUGGCUUUCUGGGUGGAACAAAUGCAGAUUGGAAGAAAUGGAGUUCAUGCUUGCAAGCAUCAAUUUCUUUAGCUUUGCGUGAAAUUUCAUCAGCUGUAUCAGUUUCUUUGGUUUGUUUUCUCAAGACUGAGUGAAAGUUUUCCACUGGAUACUCAUCGAAUGCAGAACAUCGAGAGAAUAAGAUCCCUGAUCAAUGUCCAUCCGCCAUAAAUGAUUUCAAGCAACAGAGAUGUACGCCAUGGUUUUGGUUUCUUAGCCAGCUUUGCUUUUUUCCCAAAGAUGAAAGCAUAAAGGAUGUGCAACAAUUCCAAGAUUCCGUAGAGAUUCAAGCCCUUGUUUGCUGAUUCCAAACUGCUGCAGUGUCCUGGAUAGUGUGACUUGAAAUGAGUUGCAUUUUUGUGAUUACAUUGGAUCCAAUGUUAUGGCUUCUUGUAUGGAUGAAUAUAAUUUAUCAGCACCAACAUCUUUGCACAUAAUCUCAAACACAUCAGGAUCCAUUUCAGGCUCUGCCAAUUUUGUUAUGACAGAUUCUUGCCUGUUCAUCUCGUUUUUAGCAGAAGAUUCCAAUACCACAAGCUAAAUUACAAGUGUGCUUAAUUGACUUUUUUUUCUCUGAGGGCCAUACUAAUGGCCAUAAGAAUUUGACAACAAUGGGAGCGCCUUUUUCUAAUCUGCGUGAACCAGAUGAAUUUGAAUUGUCUGAAACAGAGCAACCUCUAACAGCUGUUGAAGAACUUCCACCAAGUCACACCAACAAUACGACAGGAAUUCCACCGGCUUUGUGAUUAAUUGAAAAUCAUACUUUAGAUUAAAGUAGUCUUAAAGUAAUAAUUUCUAUUUCUAUUUUUUUAAGUAGCUUAUAUAUUUUUUGUAAAACGACGGUUUAGCCAUAGUUAUGGGUGAAAUAAUGGCAAAUUAGAUUGGAGAUGUGCAUGCGUGAACUAUGCUCAUGCAGUGAAAAUCAGUUUUUACAACAUAAUUUGUUGAACUGUGAAGAUUUGUAACUCAAUUUUAUAGUCAAGCUGUUAUUGUUGUUACAUGAAAUAUUUUUGCAUAUUUAUUUUGCAAUUAAUGUAGCUUAUAUGUUGAGAUUCUUUAUAAGGAUUUUGAACGUCUGGCAACUCAGCAAAGCACCAACACAAUUAUACAUUUUUGUGGCAUAUAAUUUGGGCAGGAAGUGCUCGAAAAAAAGGUCUAGAGGCUGUAAUUAACCUAAGUUUUUCCUAGAGGAACAGGAGGACCUCUAAGUUGCAGAGGGUGUGCGCCAGCUCUGUGCAUGUUGUUCAGUGAGUUAAGAUCUGAUGAUCUAGGGACCACCAUUAGUUAUACUGAGACAGUAAGGGCACUCAAAACCCGACAGAGCAUGCAAAAACAAUAGGUUUUUCUAGAGGAAGAGGUGGACCUCUAGAUAACAGGUGGACCUCUAUAGAUAACAGGGGAACAGGCGGACCCCUGUUCAGGUCAGUCAGCUCGACUCAAAUAUUUUCUGACUGACCCAUCGAGUCUCUAGGUCAGGUCAUCAGGUCGCGUUUUCGACCAAAAUGACCUGUACAAAUGCACUUCACGUGGUGAGGUGUUGUCCAGAAGGACAGCACUUCCUGCUGUUUAUUUUGCCUUCAUGAAAUAGCAUAUAUUUAUAGACCAGAGAUGUAAAAAAA
rnacentral:lncRNA from 1 species